UACGGAGGAUCCGAGCGUUAUCCGGAUUUAUUGGGCUUAAAGGGUGCGUAGGCGGCCUAUUAAGUCAGGGGUGAAAGACGGUAGCUUAACUAUCGCAGUGCCUUUGAUACUGAUGGGCUUGAAUAUACUUGAGGUAGGCGGAAUGUGACAAGUAGCGGUGAAAUGCAUAGAUAUGUCACAGAACACCAAUUGCGAAGGCAGCUUACUAAGGUAUGAUUGACGCUGAGGCACGAAAGCGUGGGGAUCAAACAGG
rnacentral:rRNA from 1 species